rnacentral:RNase_P_RNA from 1 species
GGAGUAGGGCAAAUGAUCGCUGGUUCCGCUUCGGCGGGACGGGAGGAAAGUCCGGGCUCCGCAGGGCAGGGUGCUGGGUAAUACCCAGUCUCGGUGACGAGCAGGAAAGCGCAACAGAAAGCAAACCGCCCCGCUUUCGGCGGGGUAAGGGUGAAACGGUGAGGUAAGAGCUCACCAGUCCCGGUGGUGACAUCGGGAGCUAGGCAAGCCCCACCCGGAGCAAGACCGAAUAGGAGAGCGCUCAAGGGCGGCCCGUCCGAGCUCUCGGGUAGGUUGCUUGAGCCCGCUGGCAACAACGGGCCUAGAGGAAUGAUCAUUGCCUCUCGUGCGAUGCAAAUCGUGACGGGAGGAACAGAACCCGGCUUAUGACCUGCUCCAGAU